rnacentral:antisense_RNA from 1 species
CAGCUCCUGGGAUGGCCUCACCUGAGGAGACUCUUGGGCCUUGGCAGAACCACUCCCUCAAGUUCUCCAAAUAAGGCUUCUUCCAACAAGAUCCCGCCCUGGGCUGCCUACACAGGGGCAGGCCAAUCAGGCGCUCCUCUAGGGCAGGGUCUUCCCUGGGGUAAAAUGGAGUACACGCCAAGUCAAUUAAGAGCUCAUGGAGUUGCUGAAAUAAAGGUUGCCAAGGCUGGGCGUGGUAGCUCACGCCUGUAAUCCCAGCACUAUGAAAGGCCGAGGCAGGAAUUGAGCUCAGGAGUUUAAGAUCAGCCUGGGCAACAUAGUGCGACUCCAUCUAUACAAAACAACAACAACAACAAAAAAAAAAAAACAAAAAAAACCCUUAAAAAUUAGCUGGCCACGGUGGUGCGUGUCUAUAGUCCCAACGACUUAGGAGGCUGAAAUGGGAGGAUGACUUGAGCCUGGAAGUUUGAGGCUGCACCAAGCCAUGAUCUUGCCACUGUACUCCGUCCUGGUGACAGAGCAAGACCUUGUCUAAAAAAAAUAAUAAUAAAAACAAAGUUUGCCAAA